AACUAAUCGAUUUAAUCUAUUAUAAUCGAUUAUUAAAAUAGUUAACAACUUUUUUAGUCAUCGAUUAGUUGUUUAAUAAUCAUAUUUUACCGCAUAAAGUCUAUUUUUACCACAAUCUGACAUCGGUUACAAGCUGUUAAAUUUGCCGCCAGUGUGUGGCAGUAAUGAGCCACUGAUCUACCAGUGGAGCCGUAGAAGAAGAAAUGAGCCAAUGAGUGCCCUCGGUUUUCAUGACGUAUCACGUUACUGACGCUCAUCUUGCUGUGAGAGAUGGCGGAACAAGAGGAAAUACGGAAGAAAAAUAGAAGCGACAAAACUGAAGAGAAACCCCGGACAAAAACCUCACGAGUAUGGGAGCACUUCACUCUAGAUGCCUUGAAAAGACGGGUGACCUGCAAAAUAUACAAAAACCAUCUAGCAUGGCACGGAAGCACGACGUCCCUAAGUGAACAUUUGAGACGAAAACGUGGGGGCUGAUGCAGCAGAGGAAGAGCACCGCGGUCAAGUGAGCCGUCAUUUGGAAGAGCCAGCCCGAAAAAAACAAGCAACGAUGGACAACUACAUGGGGAACAAGACACUCACCCCCCAGCAAUUCAUACCACUUACAAACUCUAUUCUAAACAUGCUGGUAAAAGACAUGAGGCCACUAUCCAUGGUGGAAGGAGCAGGCUUCCAGCUAAUGCUAAAAAAUUAUUCUGGACUGAUAUUUUGCACUGUUUAGCUCAUUUUAUACUGCUGACUGUGUUCAUGUGCAAUAAAAUAGAUUGCAGUCAACU